rnacentral:rRNA from 1 species
CAGUAGCCACGGUAACACGGAGGGUGCAAGCGUUAUCCGGAUUUAUUGGGUUUAAAGGGUCCGUAGGCGGACUUAUAAGUCAGUGGUGAAAGCCUGUCGCUUAACGAUAGAACUGCCAUUGAUACUGUAAGUCUUGAGUAUAUUUGAGGUAGCUGGAAUAAGUAGUGUAGCGGUGAAAUGCAUAGAUAUUACUUAGAACACCAAUUGCGAAGGCAGGUUACCAAGAUAUAACUGACGCUGAGGGACGAAAGCGUGGGUAGCGAACAGGAUUAGAUACCCCCGUAGUCCCUGUCUCUUAUAC